UAGCAACCCAGCACUUCAUGUCUAAGGGAAAGCAGCUGCAGGAGAAACUACUUUGAAUCUGCUAUAUUAGUCUAAUAGGUUUGCAACAGAACAAGCUCCACCAAGGUUCCGUUGGAGAGUCUUUCAGCAAGAUGUGACAACAUGCCAAACUGAAAGAAUGAAAGUGGCUUAAUCCUUCAAGGUGGUGUGUGCCUCCUGCAAAAUGAAGUUGAAAAUCAGGUCCUUUUGAGCCCCCUCUUCAUUCAUUAAUCAGAGAGCCUGAAACAAUACCUCUCCGAUAUGAACUGCCCCAUUCUUUCCAGUGGCUGCUAACCCAGAUGCUAAUUCACUACUCAACGCACACAGGAAGCAUCAUACAAUAAAAAGCUAUACAUAUACUCUGAGUAAUCACUUAU